CGGACGGGUGAGUAAUGUCUGGGAAACUGCCUGAUGGAGGGGGAUAACUACUGGAAACGGUAGCUAAUACCGCAUAACGUCGCAAGACCAAAGAGGGGGACCUUAGGGCCUCUUGCCAUCGGAUGUGCCCAGAUGGGAUUAGCUAGUAGGUGGGGUAACGGCUCACCUAGGCGACGAUCCCUAGCUGGUCUGAGAGGAUGACCAGCCAUACUGGAACUGAGACACGGUCCAG
rnacentral:rRNA from 1 species